GUCCAGGGGCGGGAAUCGAACCCACAACGUUCUGCUUACCGGGCAGAUGCCAUGUCCACUAGGCUACCCUGGA